rfam:Chromobacterium sp. 37-2 Cmus_37-2.1, whole genome shotgun sequence.
CUCUAUGGCGGGCCAUGGUGGGAGCAUCUAUGAUGCGCCGCUCCUGGAUCGGUACGCCAAUCCCGCCAUGUGCCUGCCACCCCU